UGGGGGGAGGGAGGAGCCUCACUUUGGUGAGUGCUUUGCCCCAGUUUGUAGAACGACCUGCUGCUGCUUCAUACAGACAGAAAUCGGUUUUCCACUGGAUAACCCCAGCUACAGGUAUUUGCUUAGGAGUAGCACCACCGUGGUGUCACACCAGCAGCACGGAGGAGGAGCACCCUGGAGCACUGCAGAGCAGCGGAUCUCGGGCGUGGACCGCGGAGAACACGCAAUCUUCUUAUUGAGGGGCACCCAGGGAACCAUCCAGCCAUGGCAUCCCCCCUGAAACAUGGAUUCCCUUGUCAACAUCCUGUCCCUUUUGUCAUCUACUCUUUGCUUCAGAUUUCUUUGUGGCAAAGAAUUCCAAAUGAUGGUAACAAUGACUGUUUCCAGAAUGAACCUUGUAACAUUCUUUAAAUUCUUUUUCUAAAUCGCUAGAAAGUUGAGCAAGUGAACCAUUAGGAAAUGUUGCCAAGGUCAAGAUGAAAUUAGACAAAAAGAUUAUAAUAAAAUUAGUGCUUUGCUGCCUGGAUAAGGAAA